GCACCUAUAGUUUAAUGGAUAGAACGAUGGUUUGCGGAACCAUUGAUCCAGGUCCGAUUCCGGGUAGGUGCA
rnacentral:tRNA from 1 species